GUCUCGGCACCGCCCCCCGCCCCGCUCCCGCUCCCGCUCCCGCCCCCGCCCCGCUCGGUCCCGCCGUGGCCUGGAGAUGCUGUCGGGGUUGCGCCGCCGCCUUCCCCCCCUGGAAGCGACCCACGGCGGCAGAUCCGACGGAGAUCGUCCCCGGGGUGACGAAGCUUAUGGAAAAAAAGACCAAAGGCCUCGAGGGAUGUUCUUCUUGAUCCCCCGGGGCAAACGGAGGUGUCGGCGUCAGGAGCCAUCCUAACUGAGGCCCUGGUAGGCUCCCUGUUUCCCUUCGGUCGCCGUGGGUGUGCCGGCCGCCUCUGGCAGGACUAACCCUGUGGCUUUUAUGUCCAGCGUGCUGUGCUGUGUGUGCCUGCAGGUAAGAAAAGCUGGGAGUGCAGUCCCUCUGCUUUGAUUGCUGUGUCU